rnacentral:rRNA from 1 species
UACAGAGGAGCCAAGCGUUGUCCGGAUUGACUGGGCGUAAAGCGCACGCAGGCGGUCGCGCGCGUGGGGUGUGAAAUCUGGCCGCUUAACGGCCAGGCGCCAUCCCAUACGGCGCGUCUGGAGUGAUGCAGAGGUCGAUGGAAUUGCCGGUGUAGUGGUGAAAUGCGUAGAGGUCGGCAGGAACGCCCAGGGGGAAACCAGUCGACUGGGCAUCUACUGACGCUGAGGUGCGAGAGCGUGGGGAGCGAACCGG